GAAAGAUCUUUCCAAAUGAUACCAGGAUGCUGAUAUCCAGAGAUUCCUGGAGGAGGCCACCAUCUUGGACCCCCGAUUUAAAUCCAAAGUGAAUAAGGAUGAAGUCUGGGACAGGAUCAGGGAAGCAGCAAACACAGAGGCAGGACCAGAUGAGCACCUGGAGCAAGGAGACACACAGGGAAAGUUGUUCAAAGAUGAAGAUGAGGAUGAAAAAGACUAUGCAAGUUUAGUUCAUCGUGAAGAUAAUUUAGAUGUCAUGGAUUGUUCAUUUUCUGCUUAACAUUUUUAUUAUGUCCAUUUAAUUUCAGUAAAGCAGAAAAAACAACUGCCUUGGAGGAACUCUUUGAAGAGGAGGACAACGGGCUGCAGUCAUUCCAUCAACGGCAGCCCGUUCUUUCCCUGGCCCAGAGAGUGGAUCAGGAGAUCCAGCUGUAUAGAAGCC